CACGUAGGGUGCGAGCGUUUGUCCGGAAUUAUUGGGCGUAAAGAGCUCGUAGGCGGUGUGUCGCGUCGGCCGUGAAAACUUGGGGCUUAACUCUGAGCGUGCGGUCGAUACGGGCAUCACUUGAGUUCGGCAGGGGAGACUGGAAUUCCUGGUGUAGCGGUGAAAUGACGCAGAUAUCAGGAGGAACACCGGUGGCGAAGGCGGGUCUCUGGGCCGAUACUGACGCUGAGGAGCGAAAGCAUGGGGAGCGAACAGG
rnacentral:rRNA from 1 species